UGUUCAGCCAACAUUCCUCUAGCCUGGGUACCAGUCUGUUCAGCCAACAUUCCUGUCAUCACUGUGUUUAUGCUGUUCGCUGGCUCCCUGGCUCGUAUAUUCACCUCAAUACAGCUCCUGUACUACUGGAACAGGAGCUCCACACUGAAGAAGAAGACUGAGUAGACAGGACACUAAGGCAGUCUAUAAUGGGAACUUAGUUUUGAAGUAGCGCACUAUAUAAAGACUAGGGUGCCAUUCAAGAUGCAGACAAUGACCGAGAUAUUAUAUACAAGUGUGUAUGGAUCUAAUAUGGCACCCUAUAACUAUGUAGUUCACUGCUUUUGACAGGACUAUUGGCUCUUGUCGAAAGUAACACCCCAUUCCCAAUAUAGUGCACUACUUUGGACUCUACUAGUGAACUAUAUAUGGGGUGACAUUUACCCAAUGCAAAGACUCUGCAGGCCCCUACUAUAGCCUAGCCGUGGACCAAAUCAACUUCUAUUCCCACUACCCAAACCAAGCUUUUUCCCAGUUAGAAUAGUUCACAGAGAAAUCUCCUAGGUUUUGUAUCAGUGUUUUAGCUCAGGGAAGGAAGGCUUGACCCUCUUGUUAAUCCAUCUGAAAUACUGAUUCUACUAGUUGGAGGUGCCGACACACUCAAUGCAAUCUGUUUCUUUAUACCUCCUCAACAAUGUAUUCCAUUGUUCCAGUUAUAUUACAUGGGUUGUUCUCGGAACAGACUCUAGAAUGAGAACAUUCUAGAACACAACCAGGAAGUUGGUUAAUAGCUGUAAUCAAGGGGUCAAGCAAUAGAGAGGUACACUGUGAAAUUCUGUCAGUAUGUUUGAGAGAAAGGUUAGAUAUUCUUUAGAAAGGUUAGGUAGUUUGCGCAUUGUGGCUUGAGUGCGAGCAAAGAGGUCUUGGCUGAAGUUGUCCCUGGACGCUCAUCUUAGGCCAGUUCCUUCGGGGGGGGGGGGACAUCAGCAGGCAAUCAGAAGAACUGUACUGAACCAAACGGUUGUUAGUCUAAGAUGCAGUCGCACCUUUUACCUUUUUUCUGUUUGUUUCUUCGUCCGUAGGAUCAGUAGUUAAAUCAUUCAAAUUUGAUUCAGAAUAAAACUGGGAGCAGAAAUG